UACGGAGGGGGCUAGCGUUGUUCGGAAUUACUGGGCGUAAAGCGCACGUAGGCGGCUUUGUAAGUUAGAGGUGAAAGCCCGGGGCUCAACUCCGGAAUUGCCUUUAAGACUGCAUCGCUAGAAUUGUGGAGAGGUAAGUGGAAUUCCGAGUGUAGAGGUGAAAUUCGUAGAUAUUCGGAAGAACACCAGUGGCGAAGGCGACUUACUGGACACAAUAUUGACGCUGAGGUGCGAAAGCGUGGGGAGCAAACAGG
rnacentral:rRNA from 1 species